GUACGAAGGGGGCUAGCGUUGUUCGGAAUUACUGGGCGUAAAGCGUGCGCAGGCGGCCUUCCAAGUCAGGGGUGAAAGCCCAGAGCUCAACUCUGGAAUUGCCUUUGAGGACUGUGAGGCUUGAGUACGGGAGAGGUGAGUGGAAUUCCCAGUGUAGAGGUGAAAUUCGUAGAUAUUGGGAAGAACACCGGUGGCGAAGGCGGCUCACUGGCCCGAAACUGACGCUCAUGCACGACAGCGUGGGGAUCAAACAGG
rnacentral:rRNA from 1 species